CGAACGCAUCCUUCGGGAUGAGUGGCAGACGGGUGAGUAACACGUGGGAACGUACCCUUCGGUUCGGGAUAACCCUGGGAAACUAGGGCUAAUACCGGAUACGUCCGAGAGGAGAAAGGUUUACUGCCGAAGGAUCGGCCCGCGUCCGAUUAGCUAGUUGGAGAGGUAACGGCUCACCAAGGCGACGAUCGGUAGCUGGUCUGAGAGGAUGAUCAGCCACACUGGGACUGAGACACGGCCCAG
rnacentral:rRNA from 1 species